rnacentral:rRNA from 1 species
CCAGUAGUGGCGAAUGAAGCGGGAAAAGCUCAAGUUUGAAAUCUGGCGGGCGACCGUCCAGAGUUGUAAGCUGGAGAGGUGUCGUCGGAUGCGGUCCGGGCUCAAUUUCCUUGGAACAGGAGGUCAUGGAGGGUGAGAACCCCGUAUGUGGCUUGGGUGCCGUGGUCCUUGUGACGUAUCCUCUAGGAGUCGGGUUGUUUGGGAAUGCAGCUCAAAAUGGGUGGUAAAUUUCAUCUAAAGCUAAAUAUUGGUGAGAGACCGAUAGCAAACAAGUAGAGUGAUCGAAAGAUGAAAAGUACUUUGAAAAGAGAGUGAAACAGUACGUGAAAUUGUUGAAAGGGAAGCGUUUGGCAUCAGCCCAUGGCGGCGGUCGAACAUCUGGGCUUCUGCCCAGUGCACUCGGCAGUCGCCGGGCCAGCGUCGGUUCCACCUGCUGGAGAAAGGCCUUGGGGAAGUGGCACUCCCUUGUGGAGUGUGUUAUAACCCAUGGCGUCAUGCGGCUUGGUGGGGCCGAGGUCCGCGGUUUUGUCCUAGGACGCUGGCGUAAUGGUUCCAAGCGACCCGUCUUGAAACACGGA